GCCUUGCAAAGUUAGAUCAUAAACCUUCGUUAAUGAAGGUGGAGGGGACGUCGGUAAAUCACCUUCAUUAGAUUGUGUUUGGGACUGGUCAGACAUGGGUACCACAAUUCCUGCUAGCUACUUCAUAAGGAAAAAGGAUGUUUUCCCAGAAGGUAGUUCUUAGUUGUUCCCAGAGUGCCCUGGUCAAAUCCCCGGGUGUCUGAAAGAGAGUGUUUCUGGGUAAGGAGGAGGCGUGGUUGGAGAGGGUCCCACAGUUGGAGAGGAAAGGGAAAUGGACGUUCAAAGAGGGGAAGGCGAAACAGCUGUUAAGAGGCGACCGGUGGUAAAGCUGGAGUGCGAACAGAGGCUUGCAUGGGCCUCUAGCCUAGGGUGGCCUCAACACUGCCCUCUUCUGUCAGUUUCUCAAGUACUGGGAUCACUGACAUGGCAACCACACCCAGAGAGAUUAACAGUUUUAUAAGCUCUUGCCUGUGCUUCAAGAUGUGAGACAUCCUCUCCUCCUGUGCCUGUCACCAAUGUUUUCUGUCUCUACCAUGAUGAAUUCUUCUCCCUCUGGAACUUUGUAAGCCAAAUAAACCCUUCUUUCUUU